rnacentral:rRNA from 1 species
UGGGGAAUAUUGCACAAUGGGCGCAAGCCUGAUGCAGCCAUGCCGCGUGUGUGAAGAAGGCCUUCGGGUUGUAAAGCACUUUCAGCGGGGAGGAAGGCGGUGAGGUUAAUAACCUCAUCGAUUGACGUUACCCGCAGAAGAAGCACCGGCUAACUCCGUGCCAGCAGCCGCGGUAAUACGGAGGGUGCAAGCGUUAAUCGGAAUUACUGGGCGUAAAGCGCACGCAGGCGGUCUGUCAAGUCGGAUGUGAAAUCCCCGGGCUCAACCUGGGAACUGCAUUCGAAACUGGCAGGCUAGAGUCAUGUAGAGGGGGGUAGAAUUCCAGGUGUAGCGGUGAAAUGCGUAGAGAUCUGGAGGAAUACCGGUGGCGAAGGCGGCCCCCUGGACAAAGACUGACGCUCAGGUGCGAAAGCGUGGGGAGCAAACAGG